rnacentral:rRNA from 1 species
GAUGAACGCUAGCUACAGGCUUAACACAUGCAAGUCGAGGGGUAACAGGAGGAAAGCUUGCUUUUCUUGCUGACGACCGGCGCACGGGUGAGUAACGCGUAUCCAACCUUCCCCAUAGUAGAGAAUAGCCCGGCGAAAGUCGGAUUAAUGCUCUAUGUUGUAUUUCGAUGACAUCUGAGGAAUACCAAAGGUUCACCGCUAUGGGAUGGGGAUGCGUCUGAUUAGGUUGUUGGCGGGGUAACGGCCCACCAAGCCUGCGAUCAGUAGGGGUUCUGAGAGGAAGGUCCCCCACAUUGGAACUGAGACACGGUCCAAACUCC